rnacentral:rRNA from 1 species
GAUGAACGCUGGCGGCGUGCUUAACACAUGCAAGUCGAACGGAGUUUAUAAGGAAUGAGUUUCGGACAAAUGAGAUAUAAACUUAGUGGCGGACGGGUGAGUAACGUGUGGGUAACCUACCCUAUACAGGAGGAUAACAGUAAGAAAUUACUGCUAAAACUGCAUAAGAUUACGAGUUCGCAUGAACAAGUAAUAAAAACUUUAGUGGUAUAGGAUGGGCCCGCAUCUGAUUAGGUAGUUGGUGGAGUAAAAGCCUACCAAGCCGACGAUCAGUAGCCGAUUGAGAGGAUGACCGGCCACAUUGGGACUGAGACACGGCCCAAACUCCUACGGGAGGCAGCAGUGGGGAAUAUUGGACAAUGGGGGAAACCCUGAUCCAGCGACGCCGCGUGAGUGAAGAAGUAUUUCGGUAUGUAAAGCUCUAUCAGCAGGGAAGAAAAUGACGGACCUGCUAAGAGCCCC